rnacentral:rRNA from 1 species
CCUACGGGGGGCUGCAGUCGAGAAUCUUCGGCAAUGGGCGCAAGCCUGACCGAGCGACGCCACGUGCGGGAUGACGGCCCUCGGGUUGUAAACCGCUGUCGGGGGGGACGAAGUCACGGGGGGUACUCCCCUCGUGUUGACGGAGCCCCGGAGGAAGCGCGGGCUAAGUACGUGCCAGCAGCCGCGGUAAGACGUACUGCGCGAACGUUAUUCGGAAUCACUGGGCUUAAAGGGUGCGCAGGCGGCUCGCCAAGCCCGGGGUGAAAGGCCCCGGC